rnacentral:rRNA from 1 species
CUACGGGCGGCUGCAGUGAGGAAUAUUGCACAAUGGGGGGAACCCUGAUGCAGCAACGCCGCGUGGAGGAUGACGCAUUUCGGUGUGUAAACUCCUUUUAUAUGUCAAGAAAAUGACGGUAGCAUAUGAAUAAGCGCCGGCUAACUCCGUGCCAGCAGCCGCGGUAAUACGGAGGGUGCAAGCGUUACUCGGAAUCACUGGGCGUAAAGGACGCGUAGGCGGGUUGGAAAGUCAGGUGUGAAAUCCUACAGCUUAACUGGAGAACUGCACUUGAAACUUCUAAUCUAGAGUAUGGGAGGGGGAGAUGGAAUUAGUGGUGUAGGGGUAAAAUCCGUAGAUAUCACUAGGAAUACCUAAAGCGAAGGCGAUCUCCUGGAACAUUACUGACGCUAAGGCGUGAAAGCGUGGGGAGCAAACAGGAUUAGAUACCCCCGUAGUC